rnacentral:rRNA from 1 species
CUACGGGGUGCUGCAGUGAGGAAUAUUGCACAAUGGGGGGAACCCUGAUGCAGCAACGCCGCGUGGAGGAUGACGCAUUUCGGUGUGUAAACUCCUUUUAUAUGUCAAGAAAAUGACGGUAGCAUAUGAAUAAGCACCGGCUAACUCCGUGCCAGCAGCCGCGGUAAUACGGAGGGUGCAAGCGUUACUCGGAAUCACUGGGCGUAAAGGACGCGUAGGCGGGUUGGAAAGUCAGGUGUGAGAUCCUACAGCUUAACUGUAGAACUGCACUUGAAACUUCUAAUCUAGAGUAUGGGAGGGGGAGAGGGAAUUAGUGGUGUAGGGGUAAAAUCCGUAGAUAUCACUAGGAAUACCUAAAGCGAAGGCGAUCUCCUGGAACAUUACUGACGCUAAGGCGUGAAAGCGUGGGGAGCAAACAGGAUUAGAUACCCGGGUAGUC